ensembl:lncRNA
CGCAUGCGCAGACAGAGUGUGCGAGCGGCGGGCCUUGACCUUUCGGGAAAAAAAACUCACGGACGGUGACAGCGAAACGGAUAACAGUCUUCAGUACCUGCUGGACUUUGAAGCUGUGGAUUCUGGGACUGUUAGAAAAGGACAGCAAGAGUAAACGAUCGGGAGACCCUUGUCGUCGUUAUCGUUCCACUCGCACGGUUUAUUUCACCGAAUUCAGCGUUUUUGCUUCACAACUAAAGCGAGCAGUUUGCUCUGUGCACCAACAUGGAGUCGAGUCAACCAGCGCCACCUCUGGCCAAGUGCCACAGCCUACAGCCAGAUCAACCUGUGACACA